rnacentral:rRNA from 1 species
GGUAGCCGACCUGAGAGGGUGACCGGCCACACUGGGACUGAGACACGGCCCAGACUCCUACGGGAGGNAGCAGUGGGGAAUAUUGCACAAUGGGCGAAAGCCUGAUGCAGCGACGCCGCGUGAGGGAUGACGGCCUUCGGGUUGUAAACCUCUUUCAGCAGGGACGAAGCGCAAGUGACGGUACCUGCAGAAGAAGCACCGGCUAACUACGUGCCAGCAGCCGCGGUAAUACGUAGGGUGCAAGCGUUGUCCGGAAUUACUGGGCGUAAAGAGUUCGUAGGCGGUUUGUCGCGUCGUUUGUGAAAACCAGCAGCUCAACUGCUGGCUUGCAGGCGAUACGGGCAGACUUGAGUACUGCAGGGGAGA